UCCAACCCUGGAGUCAUCAUGCUGCAUUUUUAAUGCAAUCAGUUCAUAAACAUCAAAGUGGGAACACCAAAUUUGUAUGGGGUCAGGACUAACUGGGGCUCAUAGUAGAGAGACAGCUGAGAGCUGAGUCCCCUGUGUGCGUGGGUGGCCUUGCAGCUGUUGAUCAGGCUACUAGACAGUUGCCUCUGCCUUUGUGGGUCCAGACCAGUCUUAGGCAGAAAUGCACACCCCACCAUGGAAUGGACAUAAACAGUGAGCUGACAUCAGCUCUGAAAACAGCGGGUCGGGAGCCAGACACAGCAGUUAUCCCCAAAUACUGGGUCGUAGAAGCAAAACAUCUGCACAAUAAUAUUUGUCUUUGUACAAUAGCACUGGGUUCUCUUGAGCGUGUAACCAACUUAAAGGCUCAGAUCCAAGAGGGUCACUGUGUUGUUAUCCCCCACAAGGGCAGCAGGGCGAGGAGCAGCCGGCUGCACAGGACACCAUGACCCUAACGUGCUUGACAGGAAGCGACAGCAGCUACUCAGGAGUCUACUGAUCUUCCUCGGAUGUCCCUUUCAGUUCAAGAAACCACUCACAGGAAUGCUGCUUUGGAAUUGUUUUUAAUAGAUCAAAAACCACAUACGAAUUCAUUGAUUUUUUUUUUUUGAGAGUGUUAAUGUUACCUGAAAAUUCCAUAUUUUCCCAUUUCAAAUGAUCAAUGAAGACAAAGAAAAACAUACCCAUGAUGCUAAUGUGGUCAUGGGUGGUGUAGGUGAGAAUUUAAAUGUAUUCAACAUUAAUAAAGACAUUCUUUAUAAGACUGACUUUCCAGAGUCUGAGAAGACAAGUCCUGUAUUGAAAAGCCUAUUAUUUGAUGGAAUGCCACAGUCUUGCUCCUUAGGAAAUGAAGGGAAGAGAUUUUGUCUCAGCAGGUUGACCAGUUACCCCAGGGGAACAUGGCCCACAGAAGCCCAACUCUUUCCUGUCUUUUCACCUGCUUCCCUGUGCCCCUUAAGGAGUGAAAGCUGAUUUUUAAAUGGGCACCUGUUUUCUUGGUUUAUUGUAGUCCUCUUCCAUGUGAGGACACCUUCUGCAAUUUCAAUUACCCAUGGAAACCAUGUUUUAAAAACACGAGUGGAAAAUGUCAGUAGUUCACCUGCUUUAAGCUGUGCGCUGUUGUGAGCAGCAUGAGAGAAUGCAUGACUCUGCCUGGGAAGGGACCCUCCUCCUGCCACUGGAUCCACACAGUACUGCCAGCCCACGGGUAGCCAAGUUGGUCAUUGUAUUGCAGUGCUUAUAUUCAAGUAACCCUAACAGUGACCGCAAAGGACAAUAAUGGGUGCCAGCAGUUUGUGCCAAAGGGAAGCUGUAAAAAGGCUUCCUUUAUCUGAAAAGGUGAAGUUAUUGUCUUAGGAAAAUUACCGAGGUUGCAGAAAGAUAUGUAAUAUGGUGGACUACUUUUAGAGAGAGUACAUUUAUUACAGUAUAUUUUAGUAAUUAUUCUAAUUAUAUACUGAAGUUAAUUAUACAUAGUAACCAUAGGUAUGUAUAUAUAGGAAUAAAGAAUAUAAACAGGGCUUGUUACUUUCCAGUUCUAAGCCCCCUCAGACAUCUUUAAAUGUCCCCUGUGGAUAAGGAAUGCCCACCAUGUUAACUGGUACUGAUGACUGAGAGCAAAUUAGAUUCUAGAAAUUGAACUCUUAGGGGAAAGAUGAUCAAGCAUGUUUAAGUUAGUGGCCCUACUCGUGGCAUGAGCGUGUGGCCAGUGUAAGACAAACUCAGGCACCAAGCAACAAGAGAUGCCUAUCUUCCUGCCAGUGGCGGCUUCCAGUUCUCUCACCCCCAGGGUGUGUUUGCAUAGCUGAGGCCAGUUUAUUGCAUAGCGUGUUGCUGGAGAAGCCAUUACAAGGUCCUGCCCAAGCAUGUCUGAUAAUUAAAGGGUUAUAUAUUUUGAUUAUCUGGGUGCUGUCUAGCACCCACAGACUUGGUGUGGCUCCCUUUAGUACUGAGAUGCAGUGGAUUGCCUUGGACUGCUGAUUUUUGCUUAACACAGUGGCUGGUGUUUUUGUUAUGCUUUAAAAAGAUUGUAUUUAGCUUAGAAUGUUAACAUCUAGGACGUAACAGGUGACAAACAUAAUUAAGGAUGUCCCAUUGUCCCUGAUUAAGGACUUUGUGUUUGUUUUAAGGCAGAGAUAUUAUUAAGCUCAGGCCUCAUUGUGAGGAUGGCCCUAAACUUAACACACACACACACACACACACACACACACACACACACACACACACACACACACACCUUUAUCUCCUCAGUGCUAGGAGACCUGUGCACUGGCAUAGCCUUUGAUCCUCUGUAGGCAUCAGACCCAGGCCUUUCCAGGUACUAAGCAAGCCCUACUACCUGAGCCACAUCCCCAGCUCCUGACCCAAGCAUGUUUCCUAAAAUGUCAUACUUUAAAAACGGUCAUUUUUAUUUUAUGUGCAGUAAUAGAAAAUAUUCUUGAGAUAAAAAUGUUAAUCAUGCUAGGUUUUUAAUAUGAUGCAGUAACUGUGAGGAAAAUAUUCUAGCUUGAGAGCAUGCUGUUUCUGGAGAUUGUGAAAUACCACGUAUGUCCUCCAGGUGGCAGAGUUUCUGCUCUCAUUGAAUUUCUCUCCCCCAGAAAUUGAGUAGUUGCUUUUUUCACGAGUGUAACUGGCAUUGAUUAAAUUGUUACAGCUGGUCAAAUAGCCAAACUGACCCUAGAACAGUUUGUUCACUAAUGAUCCCACUCAAUGUAAAAUCCUAAGACAGAGAGGCUUCUCCAAGGAGCAAAUAAAACCGGUCAUCUGUAAGAUGGUUUCCGAGUUGCUGGGACUCGGGUCACCAUGACACAUGGUUGGUUGCUGAUUUCUUUCUCUGGUUGAUGGAUAGCUUGCCACUUGUUAGGAACUCUAAUGAUGCCUUUGUUUUUAAAAACACAUAACAGAC
rnacentral:lncRNA from 1 species